rnacentral:rRNA from 1 species
UACAGAGGGUGCGAGCGUUAAUCGGAAUUACUGGGCGUAAAGCGUGCGUAGACGGCUAUCUAAGUCGGGUGUGAAAGCCCCGGGCUCAACCUGGGAAUGGCAUUGGAAACUGGCGGGCUUGAGUGUGGCAGAGGGGGGUGGAAUUCCGCGUGUAGCAGUGAAAUGCGUAGAGAUGCGGAGGAACACCGAUGGCGAAGGCAGCCCCCUGGGCUGACACUGACGCUCAGGCACGAAAGCGUGGGGAGCAAACAGG